rnacentral:hammerhead_ribozyme from 1 species
AUCUGGGACGAGUCCAAAAUAGGACGAAACAUACGUACUGGAU